rnacentral:rRNA from 1 species
AGAGUUUGAUCCUGGCUCAGGAUGAACGCUGGCGGCGUGCCUAACACAUGCAAGUCGAGCGAAGCACUUUACUCUGAUUUCUUCGGACUGAAGAGUGAUUUGACUGAGCGGCGGACGGGUGAGUAACGCGUGGGUAAUCUGCCUCACACAGGGGGAUAACAGUUAGAAAUGACUGCUAAUACCGCAUAAGGCCACAGCACCGCAUGGUGCAGGGGUAAAAACUCCGGUGGUGUGAGAUGAGCCCGCGUCUGAUUAGCCAGUUGGCGGGGUAAUGGCCCACCAAAGCAACGAUCAGUAGCCGGCCUGAGAGGGUGAACGGCCACAUUGGGACUGAGACACGGCCCAAACUCCUACGGGAGGCAGCAGUGGGGAAUAUUGCACAAUGGGGGAAACCCUGAUGCAGCGACGCCGCGUGAGCGAAGAAGUAUUUCGGUAUGUAAAGCUCUAUCAGCAGGGAAGAAAAUGACGGUACCUGACUAAGAAGCACCGGCUAAAUACGUGCCAGCAGCCGCGGUAAUACGUAUGGUGCAAGCGUUAUCCGGAUUUACUGGGCGUAAAGGGAGCGUAGACGGAUGUGCAAGUCUGGAGUGAAAGCCCGGGGCUCAACCCCGGGACUGCUUUGGAAACUGUAUAUCUUGAGUGCUGGAGAGGUAAGUGGAAUUCCUAGUGUAGCGGUGAAAUGCGUAGAUAUUAGGAGGAACACCAGUGGCGAAGGCGGCUUACUGGACAGUAACUGACGUUGAGGCUCGAAAGCGUGGGAGCAAACAGGAUUAGAUACCCUGGUAGUCCACGCCGUAAACGAUGACUGCUAGGUGUCGGGUAGCAAAGCUAUUCGGUGCCGCAGCUAACGCAAUAAGCAGUCCACCUGGGGAGUACGUUCGCAAGAAUGAAACUCAAAGGAAUUGACGGGGACCCGCACAAGCGGUGGAGCAUGUGGUUUAAUUCGAAGCAACGCGAAGAACCUUACCUGGUCUUGACAUCCUUCUGACCGGCGAGUAAUGUCGCCUUUCCUUCGGGACAGGAGAGACAGGUGGUGCAUGGUUGUCGUCAGCUCGUGUCGUGAGAUGUUGGGUUAAGUCCCGCAACGAGCGCAACCCUUAUCUUCAGUAGCCAGCGGAAUGGCCGGGCACUCUGGAGAGACUGCCAGGGACAACCUGGAGGAAGGUGGGGAUGACGUCAAAUCAUCAUGCCCCUUAUGGGCAGGGCUACACACGUGCUACAAUGGCGUAAACAAAGGGAAGCGAGUCCGCGAGGAUGAGCAAAUCCCAAAAAUAACGUCUCAGUUCGGAUUGUAGUCUGCAACCCGACUACAUGAAGCUGGAAUCGCUAGUAAUCGCGGAUCAGAAUGCCGCGGUGAAUACGUUCCCGGGUCUUGUACACACCGCCCGUCACACCAUGGGAGUCAGUAACGCCCGAAGUCAGUGACCCAACCGGAAGGAGGGAGCUGCCGAAGGCGGGACGGAUAACUGGGGUGAAGUCGUAACAAGGUAGCCGUAA